rnacentral:tRNA from 1 species
UCUCUAGUAGCUUAAAGGUAAAGCAUUUGGCUGUUAACCAAAAAAUUAUAAGUUCAAAUCUUAUCUAGGGAG